GAUGAACGCUGGCGGCGUGCCUAAUACAUGCAAGUCGAGCGAACAGACGAGGAGCUUGCUCCUCUGACGUUAGCGGCGGACGGGUGAGUAACACGUGGAUAACCUACCUAUAAGACUGGGAUAACUUCGGGAAACCGGAGCUAAUACCGGAUAAUAUAUUGAACCGCAUGGUUCAAUAGUGAAAGACGGUUUUGCUGUCACUUAUAGAUGGAUCCGCGCCGCAUUAGCUAGUUGGUAAGGUAACGGCUUACCAAGGCGACGAUGCGUAACCGACCUGAGAGGGGGAGCAGCCAAACAGGGAGAGAGAACAGGGACAAGAUGAAGAGGGGAGGCGCAAGGAGGGAUUAUGCAGAAAGGGGAGAAAGUUAGAGGAAGAACGGCGGGGGGAGGGAGGAGGGUCUAGGGAGAAAAAAACUGUUUUAUGAGGAAAAAAAAAAGGGGAAAGAAACAAGGCACGUCUGGAGGAAACAAAAUAAGAAACAAAGGAAAAACUAGGGA
rnacentral:rRNA from 1 species